UACGGAGGGUCCGAGCGUUAUCCGGAUUUAUUGGGUUUAAAGGGUGCGUAGGCGGCUUUUUUAAGUCAGCGGUGAAAUUUUGCAGCUUAACUGUAACAGUGCCGUUGAUACUGGGGAGCUAGGAUUUGGUUGCUGUGGGUGGAAUGUGUGGUGUAGCGGUGAAAUGCUUAGAGAUCACACAGAAUAUCGAUUGCGAAGGCAGCUCACAAAGCCAAGAUUGACGCUGAGGCACGAAAGUGUGGGGAUCAAACAGGAUUAGAUA
rnacentral:rRNA from 1 species